CAGCCACCUCUUCCCAGCUGCUUUCCCCAGCCCUAGCAAGAGGGCACCCUCUUCCAAAAGCGAGUCUACCUGGGGAGGAGGUGGCUCCGUGCUGAAGUUAGGAGAAGGUUGGCUAUGAAGGCAGAGUGGGACCUUCUUCACUGCAGUCCUCCUACAACUUGGACCAGAGGAUUCCAUCUUCGCUGUUACAGUAUCCAUCUCCACAAGGAGCAGAAGUACAUGGGAAGUAGAGAAAACAGAAAUUAGAAAGCUAGAAGCUGUUUUGAAAAAUGCUUUCAGACUUUACAAAACAUAUAUGAAAAGAGAAUUUAUAUUUCCCCAUAUUUGGCUGGAUAUUUAUAUGACAAUUCCAAUAACCAGAUACAAAAUCAAAAUUAAAACUAAGGUACAUUUACCCAUAAAGAAAAUAUAAUGCCAC
rnacentral:lncRNA from 1 species